AAACUCAAAGGAAUUGACGGGGCCCCGCACAAGCGGCGGAGCAUGCGGAUUAAUUCGAUGCAACGCGUAGAACCUUACCUGGGUUUGACAUGGAUCGGGAGUGCUCAGAGAUGGGUGUGCCUCUUUUGGGGUCGGUUCACAGGUGGUGCAUGGCUGUCGUCAGCUCGUGUCGUGAGAUGUUGGGUUAAGUCCCGCAACGAGCGCAACCCUUGUUCACUGUUGCCAGCACGUUAUGGUGGGGACUCAGUGGAGACCGCCGGGGUCAACUCGGAGGAAG
rnacentral:rRNA from 1 species